UACAUGCUUAAAUGCACAUACGCUCUCACAUGUCUGAAGGAGAAAAUUUAAUGAAGCAGUUUAUUUCUGAUUCUAAGAUGACAAACUACAUAUGCUAGUUAUGAAUGCUAUCUUCCAGAAUCAUCCAGAUCAACCAUCAUUACAGGACGAUUCCCUCCCACUGUGAUGCAGUUGUGCAGAUUACUGGACACAUAAUCAACAUUUCCAAAGCUCACAGAGCAAAGGACAUUUCUGACCAGCUAAUGAAUUAGAUUAAUUUUUAACACACCGCGGACUGUGCCUACUACAUCAGGAUACUGGUGUUAAUUUAAAUUACUAGAUCUCUCCAUAUCUCUACUAGACUGAGAAAAGAACUAUUUUUUUUCUUUUCCAAUCUGAUGUUAGUUUCUUUGCACUAGAUAUUUAAAAGGGAUCUAGAUACCACGUAGUUUCUGCUUAUAUAUCUGAAUAUUCGGUGCUGCUUUUUAAUUGCCUUUUGGAUCGGGCACUGUUUCACAAGUCUUUGAUACCAAAUGAUGAAGCUCAGGACAACGUCAGGUGUAAGAAAGGGAUACCAUUCUGAGUUCUGCAGUAUGCCUAUUCAAGGCAAAGACUCGCCCUAAAAACCAAUACGAAGCAGAGGAAAAACGUCAGGCAUGUCAUUAGCUCACAUUACAAAGAUGUUUCCUUGACAAAAAUAAAUUCUAAAUAGGGUGACAUAAAACACGUUAUUGAAGUGGACAGACAUAAUAUCUAAUACAUAACUAAUAUACACACACAUAUACCUCAUGGACAUCACCGUUACUUAUAGCUGUCAAGAAAUUAAAGAAAAAGUUCAAAUGUACGUUUGUUUGAAACAGAAUAAACAAAUAUAUAUUUGAGAUUUAUGAUGUCCACACCAUUUAAAAUAUAAAUUUGAAAUUUAGAUAACAGACUUUGAAUUUAAAUUCAACAUACUGAAAAGAAAUUAUUAGUCAUAAAAAACUUCCUUUCAGUUCGUCACUACAACAAUUUAACAGAAGCUGCCAAUUACAUGUCAUUGUGCCAAGAAUUCAGGAAGCACUGAAACGUAAGGACAUUUUGCCCCUGUUCCGGUCAGCGGGCGUUCUGAUGGUAUCUUCAAUUGUGCAAGAUUCUGUUUAAAAUAUCAGUGCUUUUUAUACCAACACCAGCACAAACCGCUACAGUGUUUACUAAAUAAGGCGAUCUCUGGAGAGGUCUGGGAUUUUCUUUAAAUCUUAGAGACUAGUUAGGAGUAUUUCUGAUCCACUUUCUUUACUUUUGCAUACUUUUGCAUUUGCAAGAUUAAGUGGGCUUAAUUUUAUGCUUUUUCAAGAGUGAAAUGCAAAAUAUUUAGGCAUUUCUAAGUCUUUGUAUUUUGUAAGAACUACAAUAGUUAAGGAUAUUUCAGCUUAAGUGAUAAAUAUUAUUAAGCAUAACCAAAUAUUUUGCUAUAUGAUAUAUAAUAACAUGGCUGAAAUAAGAGAGCAAAUAUUUCCAAAUCCACUUGUGUUUAUAACUGCUAUAACCACGUCUGUAAGUCCCAACUGUAAAUGGCUUACUCUAAACUUAUUUUUCAUACCUUUACUGAAUUAGGAUCUCAGCAGCCUCCAAAAAUGGCGAUAUACUGCUUUUUUCUUACCCAAAGGAUAGAUAAACUAAAACUUUAUCACGUAUAAAUGGUUUCUUCUUAGUAAGUUACAGUUUAUCAAUUUUAAUUUUAUUCUAGCAGUAAUAUAUAGUAUAUUAUUCUUAGUUGCAAAAAUAAUUAUGAACAGAGUUCCAUUCACAAUAGAGUGCUAAAUUAUGAGUAGCUCUUAUCCAUUCUGUAAGUAAUUUUAUUCACAUUAUUUUAAGAAGUGUGACCUAAGCUCUAACACCCAAUAUAAUUGUUCUGCAUAUCAAGAUUAUUUCUAUGGUGGAGCUUUCUCAAUGAAAAAGAGAGUACAGUUUCUUACUAACGUUAAUUUAAGCAAGUAGCCCAUUUUUAAUGUCAGAUGGUAAGAGACUGUUUUUAAUCUUUCAGUAAUUUGUAUUUGAUAUAGAGUUAAUGUGAACAGAAAAUCUAUAUUAGCCCUGUCUCAUUAAACUCUCAGAGUACAUCUUGAUGAUAAAAGGGUACUUUUUAAACUUGAGAUGGCUAAUGUGAUAAAAAAUACCUUUAACACAUUGUGGUGAAGACACAAUCUUAUUGUAUUUCCAAUUCUAUUAGCUGACUUUAAAGAUGGAAAACCACGUUAAGGAUUAUUUCACAAGAUGUCAGCACACAAUUUUAAGAGGACCCUUUUUCAUCAGUUAGACAAAGCCUCACAGGCAAAACAGACAAUGAGCUUUCUACCGGGCAAAAAUGAUGAUUAGAGAUAGUAAAUACUAUGAAGCAGUUAAUUAGCAUUAAAAAAGGAUUUCUCACAAUCAAAGCUCACCUCAAUAGAGAAAGGCUGCAAAUAUGGGGUAAAAGUGCCAAUUUGUUUUGCCUCAUCUCCAGAUGAAUUAUUUGGGUAACGAAAUGUACAGGCCAGGCACCAAAACGUGAAUGGAAAUGCACUGGCACCAACACCCAGUGCAAUCCUGAAUGAGGUUGGGAACCAAUCCCAGCAAACACUGCCCAGGGAUAAGUGGAUACGCAGUCCACCGUGCAAACGCAACAGAAGAAAUGCCUGGGUUGUGAAGGAGAUACCAAAGAGGGUGACAGUCUGGUCACAACAGGAAGAAGGGUGUGGUUCAGAAGUAGAUUGUGAAAUUACAGCUAGCCACACAAAUUCUAAACAGCUGAAGUGUUUAAUCUGAUCUAUUUAUUCUAUUAAUUAUUUAGUUAGACCACCUGAGUCUCAAUGCUUGUCUGCCUCAGGGACAGGCUUCAAAAUGAAAGAAGUUUUAUCUUCACUUAAAAAAAAAAAAAAAAAAAAGAGAUGGCUUCUGAGACAGUUAUUGCAGUGGCAAAUCCCAAAGAUGACAAGAGCUAUCUAUAAAUUUAAAAUUGUUCACUUUGGAAGUAAAGCUCCACUGCAGUGGUAUAAGAAUUUAGUACAGUAAGUUGAAAAUUAAUUACACCUUCUUCUACAAUGGACACCCGUACAAAGUCUUACUAGCAUUUUAUUCUGGUAAAAUGUAUUUACCCUUGGAUUAUAGACUGAUUUUGAAAUAUUGAUAUAUUUUUUCUUACUGUAAAGAAUUCAGAACCAGCAGUCCCCAAACAAAUCACAGAAACUUUUUAGCAGGGGUAAAAUUCUUUCUAUCUUCAAACACCUGUUUAGGAGAGCCGGUUUCCCAGUCACAAAAACUCUAAGAUUUCCACUCUCACAAAACAUGACACCUGUAUUGCUGCACCAGAGACUCUCUCUCACCGCAAGUCCACUGCAAGUCAUAUGCAGGUCUAGAAACCUUAUAGUCCUGACUUACUGUCGAAAUAGCACUGACUGUAGUACCUCAGGUUUUCCAACAAUGUAAAAAUUAGUAAUGUAUUUUUUGAGUUUUAGAUAAAUAGAACACAUUUUUAAUGCAACUGCUGUGUUAACUCACCCCUGAAGAAUUCGUACUUCCCAUGCCGGGUGUCUGAGAGACUCUGGCUGAAGAAGGGCUGCGAUUUAAAGAAUGAGACCUAUUCACUGAGGAUGCACGCUGGAUUUGCAGAGAUGCUUUGGCUGAAAAGGGACGUUGCUCAGCUGCUUGUGACUGCAUAGUCAAUACUGAUAUUGAACGAGGGCAGCUUACAGAACGCCUUAUUGGACCUGUGGAUGAUGUCGGGGAUGAACAUGAUGGAGAUUUUAUAUUUUUAAUUGAAGGUUUCCAGUUCAUUCUACCUGUGGACAAAUUAAAUGAAUGAUGCAAUUACUUAUUAUUCUUUUAACACCCAUGUUUCGUUCUUUGUAACUAACAACACACAACCAACAUGUGUGCACAUAUGUUAUACUAUAAUGUAUGUUGACUAAGAACUAUAUACGUAGCAGCCAGUCACGUCAGAUCCUCUAAUAAUACACAAUUUACAUACUC